rnacentral:lncRNA from 1 species
GCGCCAGUGCAAUUUAAGAAUGUUUGCGGAGACAACAAAGUUCAAUUUACUACGUGUGUUCUUUGUCGGAAUGUAUGGUAUUGUUUUGCUGUUUUUUUCAAGUAUCUUUAGUUGAUAGUCAUUUGUAAUAUGUUGUACAGUGUCUUCCGAGUAUUAAAUAUAACAUGUAUAAGGUGUGCCCAUGUCUUUGUUUAUUGAUUGUUUUGUGUUUUAUUAAUC